rnacentral:pre_miRNA from 1 species
GUAGUAUUCCCUCCGUCCCAAAAUUCUUAUCUUACAUUUGUUUAGAUACGGAUGUAUCUAACACUAAAAUGUAACUAGAUACAUCCAUAUUUAGAAAAAUUUAAGACAAGAAUUUUGGGAUGGAGGGAGUACAAA